rnacentral:rRNA from 1 species
GCGGGGGAGCACCACAAGGGGUGAAGCCUGCGGUUUAAUUGGAGUCAACGCCGGGAAUCUUACCGGGAGCGACAGCAAGAUGAAGGCCAAGCUGACGACUUUGCUAGAUGGGCUGAGAGGAGGUGCAUGGCCGUCGCCAGUUCGUGCCGUGAGGUGUCCGGUUAAGUCCGGCAACGAACGAGACCCCCAUCCUCUGUUGCCAGCCUGCUUCUACGGAGGUAGGCGCACACGGAGGAGACUGCCAGUGUUAAACUGGAGGAGGGAGGGGGCUACGGCAGGUCAGCAUGCCCCGAAUCUCCCGGGCCACACGCGGGCUGCAAUGGUGAGGACAGCGGGUUCCGACCCCGAAAGGGGAAGGUAAUCCCUUAAACCUCGCCGUAGUUGGGAUUGAGGGCUGUAACCCGCCCUCAUGAACAUGGAAUCCCUAGUAACCGCAUGUCACCAUCGUGCGGUGAAUACGUCCCUGCUCCUUGCACACACCGCCCGUCGCUCCACCCGAGUCAAGCUUGGGCGAGGCCCAGACCUGUUGUUUGGGUCGAACCCAUGUUUGGCAAGGGGGGAGAAGUCGUAACAAGGUGGCCGCAGGGGAACCUGCGGCCG